UGAGGAAUCUUGCGCAAUGGGGGCAACCCUGACGCAGCAACGCCGCGUGAGUGAAGAAGGCCUUCGGGUCGUAAAGCUCUGUCGAGUGGAAAGAAACGUAUGUAGGUUAAUACCCUGCAUACUUGACGGUACCGCUAAAGGAAGCACCGGCUAACUCCGUGCCAGCAGCCGCGGUAAUACGGGGGGUGCAAGCGUUGUUCGGAAUUAUUGGGCGUAAAGAGCGUGUAGGCGGCGGGAUAAGUCAGAUGUGAAAGCCCUGGGCUCAACUCAGGAAGUGCAUUUGAUACUGUUUCGCUUGAGUACUGGAGAGGGAAGAGGAAUUCCUGGUGUAGAGGUGAAAUUCGUAAAUAUCAGGAGGAACACCGGUGGCGAAGGCGACUUCCUGGCCAGAUACUGACGCUGAGACGCGAGAGCGUGGGGAGCAAACA
rnacentral:rRNA from 1 species